GCUCGCAUAGUUUAGUUGGUCAUAACGUCGCCUUCACACGGCGAAGGUCCUCAGUUCAACUCUGAGUGCGAGUA